GACGAACGCUGGCGGCGUGCCUAAUACAUGCAAGUAGAACGCACAGUUUAUACCGUAGCUUGCUACACCAUAGACUGUGAGUUGCGAACGGGUGAGUAACGCGUAGGUAACCUGCCUGGUAGCGGGGGAUAACUAUUGGAAACGAUAGCUAAUACCGCAUAAUAUUAAUUAUUGCAUGAUAAUUAAUUGAAAGGUGCAAUUGCUCCACUACCAGAUGGACCUGCGUUGUAUUAGCUAGUAGGUGAGGUAACGGCUCACCUAGGCGACGAUACAUAGCCGACCUGAGAGGGUGAUCGGCCACACUGGGACUGAGACACGGCCCAGACUCCUACGGGAGGCAGCAGUAGGGAAUCUUCGGCAAUGGACGAAAGUCUGACCGAGCAACGCCGCGUGAGUGAAGAAGGUUUUCGGAUCGUAAAGCUCUGUUGUAAGAGAAGAACGGGUGUGAGAGUGGAAAGUUCACACUGUGACGGUAUCUUACCAGAAAGGGACGGCUAACUACGU
rnacentral:rRNA from 1 species